CCCCCAGUAACUGCGAGUGAAGAGGGAAGAGCUCAUCAUUGGAAUCUGGCAGCGUUGCGCUGUCCGAGUUGUAGAUGAGAAGAGUAGGCCAUCUGGGCUGCAUGGUGUCCAAGUACAAUAGGCCGUCAGUGGGACAUCAUAGAGGGUGACAAUCCCGUCCUUGACACCAAUGUACGAGUCCUUUACGAUGCCUAUCUCGGAGAGUCGAGCAGUUUGGGAUUUGCUGCUUAAACAUGGGAGGUAGAUUCCUUCCAAAGCUAAAUACAGGCAAGAGACCGAUAGAGAACAAGUACCGCAAGGGAAAGAUGAAAUAGAACUCUGUGAAGGGAGUCAAAAGACGUGAAAUUGUUGCGAGAGAAGCGAUUCAAGUCAGCGUAGCUGGACCCAUCAAGCCUCGCGCUUUGGACCAGCUUUGCCAGCGGUCUUGUCCCUAGAGACUUGACUUAAGGUGCCCUGCCCGGUCUGACGGGCAGACCUCCCCUGGAGGCCAGUGGCAUGGCUGGUGGAAUGGCUUGCAAUCGACCCGUCUUGAAACACGGACCAAGGAGUCUAACAUGCAUGCGAGUAUAAGGGUGGCAAACCCGUAUGCGCAAAGAAAGUGAUGGCCUUUGAUGGCCGAGAAUGACCUGAUGACCAGACAAGCAAUAUUAUGUUCCUCGUACGGUCAUUGCCCAAGUCCCAUGGUCAGAUCCCAUGGACAUGGAGUUGGAGCGUGCAUGCUAGGACCCGAAAGAUGGUGAACUAUGCCUGGACAAAGCGAAGCCAAAGGAAACUCUGGUGGAGGCUUGUAGCGAUUCUGACGUGCAAAUCGAUCGUCUGAUCUGGGUAUAGGGGCGAAAGACUAAUCGAACCAUCUCAUAGCUGGUUCCUGCCGAAGUUUCCCUCAUGAUAGCAGAGACGUUG
rnacentral:rRNA from 1 species